rnacentral:rRNA from 1 species
UCAAGCUACAAAGGGCUCACGGAGGAUACCUAGGCACACAGAGGCGAUGAAGGACGUGGUUACCUGCGAUAAGUCUCGGGGAGUUGGAAGCACACUUUGAUCCGGGAAUUUCCGAAUGGGGCAACCCCUUGAACGACCAACUGAAUAUAUAGGUUGGUGCGAGCUAACCCAGCGAACUGAAACAUCUUAGUAGCUGGAGGAAGAGAAAGUAAAUAACGACUCCCUCAGUAGCGGCGAGCGAACGGGGAAUAGCCCAAACCGAUAGUCUUGACUAUCGGGGUUGUGGGACAGCAAUAUGGAUCAACAAUUCUAGAAGAAACGUUUGAAUGGCGUGCCAUAGAGGGUGAAAGCCCCGUAAUUGAAAGUUGAGUUGACCUAGCUGUAUCCCGAGUAGCACGGAGCACGUGGAAUUCCGUGUGAAUCUGCGAGGACCACCUCGUAAGGCUAAGUACUACUGUGUGACCGAUAGUGAAACAGUACCGCGAGGGAAAGGUGAAAAGAACCCCGGGAGGGGAGUGAAAUAGAACAUGAAACCGUGAGCUUACAAGCAAUGGGAGCCCGACUAAUCGGGUGACCGUGUGCCUGUUGAAGAAUGAGCCGGCGACUUAUAGGCACUGGCAGGUUAAACCGGAAAUGGUGGAGCCACAGCGAAAGCGAGUCUUAAUAGGGCGUUUGUCAGUGUUUAUAGACCCGAACCCUGGUGAUCUAACCAUGGCCAGGAUGAAGCUUGGGUGAUACCAAGUGGAGGUCCGAACCGACUGAAGUUGAAAAUUCAGCGGAUGAGCUGUGGUUAGGGGUGAAAUGCCAAUCGAACCAGGAGCUAGCUGGUUCUCCCCGAAAUACGUUGAGGCGUAGCGUCUAGUGCUCCAGCAGGGGGGUAAAGCAACCAUUUCGGUGCGGGCUGCGAAAGCGGUACCAAAUCGAUAUGAACUCUGAAUACCCUGUGUGUAACUAGGCAGUCAGACUGUGGGGGAUAAGCUCCAUAGUCAAGAGGGAAACAGCCCAGACCGCCAGCUAAGGUCCCAAAAUUAACGCUAAGUGAUAAAGGAGGUGGGAUUGCCCAGACAACCAGGAGGUUUGCCUAGAAGCAGCCAUCCUCAAAGGAGUGCGUAAUAGCUCACUGGUCGAGCGAUCCUGCGCCGAAAAUGAAUGGGGCUAAGCGUUAUACCGAAGCUGCGGAUAAAUUUAUUUAUGGUAGGGGAGCGUUCUAUGUUGGGUGAAGCGUUAGCGUAAGCGGACGUGGACGGCAUAGAAGUGAGAAUGUCGGCUUGAGUAGCGAAAACAUGGGUGAGAAUCCCAUGCCCCGAAACCCUAAGGGUUCCUCCGGCAGGCUCGUCCGCGGAGGGUUAGUCUGGACCUAAGGCGAGGCCGAAAGGCGUAGUCGAUGGAUAACAGGUCAAUAUUCCUGUACCAGUUAUGUUUUGGGAAGGGGGACGGAGAAGGCUAGCCAGGCCAGAUGUUGGUUACUGGUUCAAGCGUUCAAGGCUUUGAGAGAUGGAGAAAACAUCUUGAGCUGAGGCGUGAGUACGAGCUGCUACGGCAGCGAAGUUGGUGAUGUCAUGCUUCCAAGAAAAGCCCUAUACCCGUUAAGACAUAAAUGCCAGUACCCGAAACCGACACAGGUGGGGUGGUAGAGAAUACCGAGGGGCGCGAGAUAACUCUCUCUAAGGAACUCGGCAAAAUGGCCCCGUAACUUCGGGAGAAGGGGUGCCAGCGAGAGCUGGUCGCAGUGAAGAGGCGCAAGCGACUGUUUACCAAAAACACAGGUCUCCGCUAAGUCGCAAGACGAUGUAUGGGGGCUGACACCUGCCCAGUGCCGGAAGGUUAAGGAAGCUGGUUAGCUUUUAGCAAAGCUAGCGACUGAAGCCCCGGUGAACGGCGGCCGUAACUAUAACGGUCCUAAGGUAGCGAAAUUCCUUGUCGGGUAAGUUCCGACCCGCACGAAAGGUGUAACGAUUUGCGCGCUGUCUCGGAGAGAGGCUCGGCGAAAUAGAAUUGUCUGUGAAGAUGCGGACUACAUACACCCGGACAGAAAGACCCUAUGAAGCUUUACUGUAGUUUGAUAUUGUGCUCGGGCUCUAAUUGCGCAGAAUAGGUGGGAGACGUUGAAAUAGUACUUGUGGGUAUUAUUGAGUCAUCGGUGAGAUACCACUCUAUUAGAGCUAGGGUUCUAACGCUUACCCGUUAUCCGGGAAGCGGACAGUAUCUGAUGGGCAGUUUGACUGGGGCGGUCGCCUCCUAAAAGGUAACGGAGGCGCACAAAGGUUCCCUCAGGCUGGUUGGAAAUCAGUCGUUGAGUGCAAAAGCAGAAGGGAGCUUGACUGUGAGACCUACAAGUCGAACAGGGACGAAAGUCGGUUUUAGUGAUCCGACGGUUCUGCGUGGAAGGGCCGUCGCUCAACGGAUAAAAGUUACUCUAGGGAUAACAGGCUGAUCUCCCCCAAGAGUUCACAUCGACGGGGAGGUUUGGCACCUCGAUGUCGGCUCAUCGCAACCUGGGGCUGAAGUCGGUCCCAAGGGUUGGGCUGUUCGCCCAUUAAAGCGGUACGCGAGCUGGGUUCAGAACGUCGUGAGACAGUUCGGUCCAUAUCCGGUGUAUGCGCAGGAAUAUUGAGAGGAUUUCUCCCUAGUACGAGAGGACCGGGAGGAACGCACCUCUGGUGUGCCAGUUAUCGUGCCAACGGUAAACGCUGGGUAGCCAUGUGCGGAGUGGAUAACCGCUGAAAGCAUCUAAGUGGGAAGCCCACCUCAAGAUGAGUAUUGCCAUGGCUUAAGCCAGUAAGGUCACGGGAAGAACACCCGUUGAUAGGCUCUACGUGGAAGCUUGGUAACAAGUGCAGCGGAGGAGUACUAAUAGACCGAGGGCUUGACCAA